UACGGGAGGCAGCAGUGGGGAAUAUUGCACAAUGGGCGCAAGCCUGAUGCAGCCAUGCCGCGUGUAUGAAGAAGGCCUUCGGGUUGUAAAGUACUUUCAGCGGGGAGGAAGGCGGUGGAGUUAAUAGCUUCACCGAUUGACGUUACCCGCAGAAGAAGCACCGGCUAACUCCGUGCCAGCAGCCGCGGUAAUACGGAGGGUGCAAGCGUUAAUCGGAAUUACUGGGCGUAAAGCGCACGCAGGCGGUCUGUCAAGUCGGAUGUGAAAUCCCCGGGCUUAACCUGGGAACUGCAUUCGAAACUGGCAGGCUAGAGUCUUGUAGAGGGGGUAGAAUUCCAGGUGUAGCGGUGAAAUGCGUAGAGAUCUGGAGGAAUACCGGUGGCGAAGGCGGCCCCUGGGACAAAGCUGACGCUCAGGGUGCGAAAGCGUGGGGAGCAAACGAGGGAUUGGGAUA
rnacentral:rRNA from 1 species